UAGAUCUUCGUUAUCAUACACAAAACUAAACACAUCAAGAACAACCAUAUUAUUGCAAAAAUGUUGAACAAUAAUUUCCCGGCAUCGACAUUUGCUUCAAAGGUUUGCAAUUUUCAUAUCAAAUUUAUAUCAUAUCGUAAUGAACUUUCUUCUUGCUAUCUUUCUUCUUUCUGAAUUGGGGUGCACAAAACAGUCAGUUAGCCGAUGAACCGGGCCAACUCAAAUCAAAACCGACUCAACCUAGCCCCUUUACUUUUUUAAUAAAUAAAUAUAUAUAUAUAUAAAUAGUGUUAAUAUUAUAUGUACAAUAUAUUUUAAGGGCCUUUCUUUAGUCCCUCUGUUGGAUUCGAAGGACUAAGUCCUUCUAUUUUCAGUUGUUAGAACACUAAUGGACGGCAGGAUUAAGGUGUUUCAUUGAGAAUAUAUUAAAAUACACAUAUACCCUUUCAUACUUCUUAGCAAAUGGCUACCAUCUAUUACAUUUAAUUUUUUUUAUCUGAUUAUUUUAAUUAAGAACGUUUAAUUCUUGUGUAAUCUUGGGUUUGGGGUAAAAGAGUUUUCGUAGAAUCUGAUAUUUAUGUUAUCUCUCCCUCCCCAUUACUUUAUUUCGUCGGCCUAGUUCGUCUGCUUGGGUGGGUUGGUUGAGUCUCUCAAGUUUUUAAGUUAAAUUUGUUGAAGAGUAGGUCGAUUGGUGAGGUUAAUUGGUGGCGCAGGUUGGGUCCAUUGAUUUUCAUUUUUGAAAAUGUGGUGGGUUUCAUUCCUGGCUUUUCGUUGUGGGUAAUUUUGUUUUUGUUUGUUUGUUUUUUUUUUAAUGGGUGGAUUGGAGCUGAAACAAAAAUGGCUGCAAGGAUGGUAUGGGCUUGAGGGGCUGCCUCAUACCUUAGAAUCUGGCUUCAAAAGGCUUUGCUUGUGUUGUGAAGGAUUUUAAGUUAGCUGACUCCCAUGAAGGGGUAACUUGGACGAAAAUUGGGCUACUGUAGGCAUAACCUAUCAUGCUCAAGAUCAUUUAGGUGAUGUUCUGUAUGUUGAAUUGGCAGAAGUAGGAGCUUAUGUAACACAGGGCGAAAGAAAAUAAUUUAAAUACUCUUAUUUAAAACCAAUUAUGAUUCAGUCUUGUAUUCUCUCAUGCUCUAUUUUUCUGACAAAUGAGCAAUUCUCAAUACCAUAGGUGAUUUGCUAUCAAUUGCUCAGUAGCUAUUUUGUUCCUAUAAUUGCAAACCAUUCGUCCUUUAGUCCAAGUGAGGUUUGCCUGAAUUUUGUAGAAAACAAAGAUAUCCACAACAUAAUUGGAAUCGAUGUUGUCUUGUGUAACAUAGAGAUAUCCAAGUACCAACAGUAUAAUCAUCUUCCAGUUAAUAGUGUAGUGAAGAUUAAAGCUCAAAAAAAUGCUACCACUUUUGCUAUUGUCAAAGCAGGUUUUCUUCAUUUCCAAUUUUUAAAAUUUGUAUAGAAUUUUGUUUGUGGGUAUUUUGUACCAUAGGUCAGGUUUAUUUGUUGGCAUAUUCUAUUUUGAAGAGACUUAAUUAAUGUCGUUCAAAGGUA